AUUGAACGCUGGCGGCAGGCCUAACACAUGCAAGUCGAACGGUAACAGGAAACAGCUUGCUGUUUCGCUGACGAGUGGCGGACGGGUGAGUAAUGUCUGGGAAACUGCCUGAUGGAGGGGGAUAACUACUGGAAACGGUAGCUAAUACCGCAUAACGUCGCAAGACCAAAGAGGGGGACCUUCGGGCCUCUUGCCAUCGGAUGUGCCCAGAUGGGAUUAGCUAGUAGGUGGGGUAACGGCUCACCUAGGCGACGGUCCCUAGCUGGUCUGAGAGGAUGACCAGCCACACUGGAACUGAGACACGGUCCAGACUCCUACGGGAGGCAGCAGUGGGGAAUAUUGCACAAUGGGCGCAAGCCUGAUGCAGCCAUGCCGCGUGUAUGAAGAAGGCCUUCGGGUUGUAAAGUACUUUCAGCGGGGAGGAAGGGAGUAAAGUUAAUACCUUUGCCCAUUGACGUUACCCGCAGAAGAAGCACCGGCUAACUCCGUG
rnacentral:rRNA from 1 species